UACACUCCUACGGGAGGCAGCAGUGGGGAAUUUUGGACAAUGGGCGAAAGCCUGAUCCAGCAAUGCCGCGUGCAGGAUGAAGGCCUUCGGGUUGUAAACUGCUUUUGUACGGAACGAAAAAGCUCCUUCUAAUACAGGGGGCCCAUGACGGUACCGUAAGAAUAAGCACCGGCUAACUACGUGCCAGCAGCCGCGGUAAUACGUAGGGUGCGAGCGUUAAUCGGAAUUACUGGGCGUAAAGCGUGCGCAGGCGGUUAUGUAAGACAGAUGUGAAAUCCCCGGGCUCAACCUGGGAACUGCAUUUGUGACUGCAUGGCUAGAGUACGGUAGAGGGGGAUGGAAUUCCGCGUGUAGCAGUGAAAUGCGUAGAUAUGCGGAGGAACACCGAUGGCGAAGGCAAUCCCCUGGACCUGUACUGACGCUCAUGCACGAAAGCGUGGGGAGCAAACAGGAUUAGAUACCCUAGUAGUCCCA
rnacentral:rRNA from 1 species